AUAAAAAAAGAAAAAAAAUGUAUUUGGACACUCCCCUUGACAAAGAUGGAAGAGGUCCUCAGGCCUAACAAUACACAUACAGUUAAGGCAUUCCCACCUCCUUUGUACCAUCUCACCAACAUGUUUC